AUGUACAUGUGGCUCCUCUUCUGGGUGAACCUCUGUUUUCUGGGGGCAGGACACACAGACUCUGGAAUCACACAGAAGCCCAGCCACAGAGUCACAUGGAAGGGACAAGAGGUGACUCUGAGAUGCGAGCCAAUUUCGGGUCAUGGAUUUGUUUACUGGUACCGGAAGAAUCUGCAGCCAGAAUUAGAGUUUUCUGGUUUCUUUCCAGUACCAAAAGAUUAUAGCCCAGGCAGGGAUGCCCAAAGAAAGGCUCUCAGCUGAAAGACCCAACGGAACAUUCUCCACCUUCAGGUUCCAUCCUGCAGAGCUAGAAGACUCGUUGACAUAUCUCUGCUCCUCCCAAAAUCUAUCACAGUGA